rnacentral:lncRNA from 1 species
UUCCUCACAACGGCCUUUCCAGGCCCAGUUUUUCCCUUCCGGCGGCCUCUCCGGGCCCAGAACCUCCUCAAGUCGGCCUCUCCAGAGCCACUUGCACCCUCCGGGCGUCCUCUCCGGGCCCAGCUCUUCUUCCUGGUUGCGUCUCCAGGCCCGACUCCUGCCUCUCAACAACCUCUUUGGACUCAGUGCCUACCCAUCUCCUGGCGGCAUUGGUCGGCCCACAGCUUCCUCAAGCCAAGCUCCCCAGGCCCAGGUCAGGCCUCACGGUGGCCUCUCCAGGAUGAGCUCCUGCCCUCCGAUGGCAUCUCCAGGCCCCAAAUGGUCUCCGGUCGGUGGGCUCCUCCACGCCAAGCUUGGGCCUCCCGGCGACCGCUGCAGGCCCAAGUUGUCCUGAAGUCGGCCU